AACGUAGGACACAAGCGUUAUCCGGAGUUACUGGGCGUAAAGGGCGUGUAGGCGGAUCGGUAAGUCUACUCUGAAAGCUCCUGGCUAAACUGGGAGAGGCGAGUGGAGACUGUCGGUCUAGGGUGAGGAAGAGGAAAGUGGAAUUCCGCGUGUAGUGGUGAAAUGCGUAGAGAUGCGGAGGAACACCAGUGGCGAAAGCGGCUUUCUGGUCCUUAACUGACGAUGAGGAGCGAAAGCGUGGGGAGCGAACAGG
rnacentral:rRNA from 1 species